rnacentral:rRNA from 1 species
GACGAACGCUGGCGGCGUGCUUAACACAUGCAAGUCGAACGGAAAGGCCCUGCUUUUGUGUGGUUCUCGAGUGGCGAACGGGUGAGUAACAUGUGAGUAACCUUCGCUUGACUUUGGGAUAACUUGAGGAGACUGGGGCUAAUACCGGCGAGGAGCUCCUGCUGCAUGGGGGGGGUCGGAAAGUUUCGGCGGUGGGGGAUGGACUCGGGGGUAAACAGCUUGUUGGGGGGGGAGCUGCUUACCCUGGCUUUGGCGGGUAGCCGGCAGGAGAGGGUGGCCGGCCACAUGAGUACUGCGGGACGCACCAGACGCCAAUGGGAGGCAGCAGUGGGAAAUCUUGCCCAAUGGGGGGAAGUGUGAUGAAGCAACGCCGCGUGCGGGAAGAAGGCUUUCGGGUUGUAAACCGCUUUAGCCUGUGACGAAGCGUGAGUGACGGUAAUGGGUAAAGAAGCACCGGCUAACUACGUG